UACAGAGGGGGCAAGCGUUGUUCGGAAUCACUGGGCGUAAAGGGCGCGUAGGUGGUCUGGUAAGCGUGCGGUGAAAUCGCGGGGCUCAACCCCGCGCCGGCCGUGCGAACUGCUGGACUGGAGCACUGUAGAGGCGGGUGGAAUUCCGGGUGUAGCGGUGGAAUGCGUAGAGAUCCGGAAGAACACCGGUGGCGAAGGCGGCCCGCUGGGCAGUGGCUGACACUGAGGCGCGACAGCGUGGGGAGCAAACAGG
rnacentral:rRNA from 1 species